rnacentral:lncRNA from 1 species
AGGGGACUAAUGUCUAAGUAACUUCUUAAGAGCUACAGAAAGCAAGCUGAGGUUGGAGUUUCAAGUCUAGUCCACAAAGAAAAUAAAACCGUAGGAAAGAAAUUGAUGAAAUAAUUUUAAAGAAACAUGGAUGUCGGGAUUGUGUCAUUCCUCUGUAGCCAGGAGGCAACAGGAUUUAACAAUAUUUGUUAUCUAUGCUCACAAGAAAAACAGACUACUGCUUGUGCUGAGAAUUUAAGAAUAUGUUUGAUCUUUCAGACCCUCUUGAUUCAGAACUAUCUAUGGCCUGGACUACUACAGGAUUGUAUCUUUUUCUUGCACUUGGAAAAGCAGUUUGUCCAAACAGCUUUACUUGCAAAUGUUCACUGCAAUGAGUUGUUGGCCUGGCUCAAGGCCUCUGGCUUCUGA